rnacentral:rRNA from 1 species
GUACUGAGACACGGACCAGACUCCUACGGGAGGCAGCAGUGGGGAAUUUUGGACAAUGGGCGAAAGCCUGAUCCAGCCAUGCCGCGUGCAGGAUGAAGGCCUUCGGGUUGUAAACUGCUUUUGUACGGAACGAAAAAGUCUUCUCUAAUACAGGGGGCGAAUGACGGUACCGUAAGAAUAAGCACCGGCUAACUACGUGCCAGCAGCCGCGGUAAUACGUAGGGUGCGAGCGUUAAUCGGAAUUACUGGGCGUAAAGCGUGCGCAGGCGGUUAUAUAAGACAGAUGUGAAAUCCCCGGGCUCAACCUGGGAACUGCAUUAGUGACUGUAUAGCUAGAGUGCGGCAGAGGGGGAUGGGAUUCCGCGUGUAGCAGUGAAAUGCGUAGAUAUGCGGAGGAACACCGAUGGCGAAGGCAAUCCCCUGGGCCUGCACUGACGCUCAUGCACGAAAGCGUGGGGAGCAAACAGGAUUAGAUACCCUGGUAGUCCACGCCCUAAACGAUGUCAACUGGUUGUUGGGUCUUCACUGACUCAGUAACGAAGCUAACGCGUGAAGUUGACCGCCUGGGGAGUACGGCCGCAAGGUUAAAACUCAAAGGAAUUGACGG